rnacentral:rRNA from 1 species
UAGGGAAUCUUCCACAAUGGACGAAAGUCUGAUGGAGCAACACCGCGUGAGUGAAGAAGGGUUUCGGCUCGUAAAGCUCUGUUGUUAAAGAAGAACACGUAUGAGAGUAACUGUUCAUACGUUGACGGUAUUUAACCAGAAAGUCACGGCUAACUACGUACCAG